AUUUUUCAUAAAUUUUAAUACAAAUAUAUAAUCUAUUGUACAACUGUGCACACAAUAAUACUGCCAUUCACAUUGUUACAUAAUCUAUGUGUUUGCAUGAUACUAUAAUGACAGGAAAUAUUUAGUAUUUUUUGUGUGACUUGAACAAUAAUUAGCGAGUCGCUAAAAGAAACAUACACACACACGCUAAAAGUCAUUCUUGAAGGUACAGUGCAGGGAGCACCAAAAAACGGUCGAUUCACAGAAAAGCGAGCCUAUCAAUGUACUACAAUGGACGGCCAAGUAUCCUGAUAUCCUGCUAAAAACAUCUGCUGCCUUGGAAAAGAGGAAUUUGGUCUACGCAAAACUGUCACAGCAGUCCAACGACGAUAAUUUAAGGGAAGAUGAUAUAAAAGAUAAUGAUGGUGAUGUUUAUGAAUGUUAUUACAAUAAGGUUUAUUAUAAGGCGCGUGGUGGCUGAGUGUUCAAGAGUAUAGCUUCCGAACCUGGGGUCUUGGAUUCGAAUCACGGUAAGGACUGGGACUUUGAAUUUCGGGAUUUU